rfam:Nicotiana sylvestris Nsyl_contig125102, whole genome shotgun sequence.
GGGCAAUGAAGUUACCUUGCACUAAUUGUGAACGAUGGGUCGUCACAUACGUCUGACUUAAGAUGAAAAAAAUGUGCAUCCGAGCUC